UGGGGAAUAUUGCACAAUGGGCGAAAGCCUGAUGCAGCAACGCCGCGUGAGGGACGACGGCCUUCGGGUUGUAAACCUCUUUUAGCAGGGAAGAAGCGAAAGUGACGGUACCUGCAGAAAAAGCACCGGCUAACUACGUGCCAGCAGCCGCGGUAAUACGUAGGGUGCAAGCGUUAUCCGGAAUUAUUGGGCGUAAAGAGCUCGUAGGCGGUUUGUCGCGUCUGCUGUGAAAACCCGAGGCUCAACCUCGGGCCUGCAGUGGGUACGGGCAGACUAGAGUGCGGUAGGGGAGAUUGGAAUUCCUGGUGGAGCGGUGGAAUGCGCAGAUAUCAGGAGGAACACCGAUGGCGAAGGCAGAUCUCUGGGCCGUAACUGACGCUGAGGAGCGAAAGGGUGGGGAGCAAACA
rnacentral:rRNA from 1 species